CUUAUUGUACCUCCUGGUUUAUUUUUACUCUCAGGGUUUUAUUAAUGCUGUUGACUGUCCUGUGCUUAGUACCUGCACAUCCACAUGGCCUAAGCCAAUUUUUCUGCCAUUCCUCCACAAGGAUUUAGUAAAUUGUGCUGUCAGUCUGGGAACCCUUCUGCAGCAGCCUUGGACUCUCAGUUGAUGCACAUCUUCUCUUGAAAAGGAAUGAAAAGAGAUGGAGACAGCUCAAAGAAACUCCAAAUUCCCAAUAAAAACUUCCAGAAUUUGCAUCCAAAGUCAGGCCUGGUUUCCAGACUCGGUGAGGAACCAGACUUUUCUCUCGUGUCCUUAAUCCACUGGGUUAAAGCUUUACAGUGAACAGAGUACUGAGCAGGACAGAGCAGCACUUCAGAUUGCAGCUGCUAAAGGCAGCCAUCCCACUCAUCUCAGUGUUUGAAAUAAAUCCUUACAUGGGGAUCUGAAAGAGCUGGACUCACUCCCCAAAGCAUUAA